rnacentral:rRNA from 1 species
CCUACGGGCGGCAGCAGUGGGGAAUAUUGGACAAUGGGGGCAACCCUGAUCCAGCCAUGCCGCGUGUGUGAAGAAGGCCCUCGGGUUGUAAAGCACUUUCAGUGAGGAAGAACGCCUGGUGGUUAAUACCCAUCAGGAAAGACAUCACUCACAGAAGAAGCACCGGCUAACUCCGUGCCAGCGGCCGCGGUAAUACGGAGGGUGCGAGCGUUAAUCGGAAUUACUGGGCGUAAAGCGCGCGUAGGUGGCUUGAUAAGCCGGUUGUGAAAGCCCCGGGCUCAACCUGGGAACGGCAUCCGGAACUGUCAAGCUAGAGUGCAGGAGAGGAAGGUAGAAUUCCCGGUGUAGCGGUGAAAUGCGUAGAGAUCGGGAGGAAUACCAGUGGCGAAGGCGGCCUUCUGGACUGACACUGACACUGAGGUGCGAAAGCGUGGGUAGCAAACAGGAUUAGAUACCCGAGUAGUC